UGAACGCUGGCGGCGUGCCUAACACAUGCAAGUCGAACGGAGUCCAGCCUUAGAGACCUUCGGGUCAAAGAGGGGAAGACUGAGUGGCGGACGGGUGAGUAACACGUGGGCAACCUGGCUCAUAGAGGGGGAUAACAGAGAGAAAUUUCUGCUAAUACCGCAUAAGCACACACUGCCGCAUGGCAGAGUGUGAAAAGAGAAUCGCUAUGAGAUGGACCCGCGUCUGAUUAGCCAGUUGGCAGGGUAAGAGCCUACCAAAGCGACGAUCAGUAGCCGAUUUGAGAGGAUGAACGGCCACAUUGGGACUGAGACACGGCCCAAACUCCUACGGGAGGCAGCAGUGGGGGAUAUUGCACAAUGGGGGGAACCCUGAUGCAGCGACGCCGCGUGAGUGAAGAAGUAUUUCGGUAUGUAAAGCUCUAUCAGCAGGGAAGAUAAUGACAGUACCUGAAUAAGAAGCCCCGGCUAACUACGUG
rnacentral:rRNA from 1 species